rnacentral:rRNA from 1 species
GAUGAACGCUAGCUACAGGCUUAACACAUGCAAGUCGCAGGGUAACAUGAGGAAAGCUUGCUUUCCUUGAUGACGACUGGCGCACGGGUGAGUAACGCGUAUCCAACCUUCCCAUAACUACGGGAUAACCCGUUGAAAGACGGCCUAAUACCGUAUGAUAUCGUUUGCUGACAUCAAAUAACGAUUAAAGGUUUAGCGGUUAUGGAGGGGGAUGCGUCUGAUUAGCUUGUUGGCGGGGUAACGGCCCACCAAGGCGACGAUCAGUAGGGGUUCUGAGAGGAAGGUCCCCCACAUUGGAACUGCGACACGGUCCAAACUCCUACGGGAGGCAGCAGUGAGGAAUAUUGGUCAAUGGGCGAGAGCCUGAACCAGCCAAGUAGCGUGCAGGACGACGGCCCUAUGGGUUGUAAACUGCUUUUAUGUGGGGAUAAAGUGCGUGACGUGUCAUGCAUUGCAGGUACCACAUGAAUAAGGACCGGCUAAUUCCGUG